UACAGAGGGGGCAAGCGUUAUUCGGAAUUACUGGGCUUAAAGGGUGCGUAGGCGGCGCGGUAAGUUGGGUGUGAAAUCCCUCGGCUCAACCGAGGAAUUGCGCUUGAUACUGCCGUGCUCGAGGGAGACAGAGGUGAGCGGAACUUAGGGUGGAGCGGUGAAAUGCGUUGAUAUCCUAAGGAACACCAGUGGCGAAAGCGGCUCACGUGGGUCUCUUCUGACGCUGAGGCACGAAAGCUAGGGGAGCGAACGGG
rnacentral:rRNA from 1 species